rnacentral:rRNA from 1 species
UGGGGAAUAUUGCACAAUGGGCGCAAGCCUGAUGCAGCCAUGCCGCGUGUAUGAAGAAGGACUUCGGGUUGUAAAGUACUUUCAGCGGGGAGGAAGGGAGUAAAGUUAAUACCUUUGCUCAUUGACGUUACCCGCAGAAGAAGCACCGGCUAACUCCGUGCCAGCAGCCGCGGUAAUACGGAGGGUGCAAGCGUUAAUCGGAAUUACUGGGCGUAAAGCGCACGCAGGCGGUUGAUUGAGUCAGAUGUGAAAUCCCCGGGCUUAACCCGGGAAUUGCAUCUGAUACUGGUCAGCUAGAGUCUUGUAGAGGGGGGUAGAAUUCCAUGUGUAGCGGUGAAAUGCGUAGAGAUGUGGAGGAAUACCGGUGGCGAAGGCGGCCCCCUGGACAAAGACUGACGCUCAGGUGCGAAAGCGUGGGGAGCAAACAGG